rnacentral:lncRNA from 1 species
GUUCAUUCGGUCGCCUUUCAAUUCACGAUUGCUAUUUUGGAUCCAAGUAGGAUAUGUUGAGAUUUAUGAGCUAAAAGAUUUGUGUCACAGAUUCUGGUUCGCAGAUGAGAAGCGCGAAAAGGCCAUGCGCGCAUGUAUUGGCCCAAUUUUUUAGAGAUGAAGGGACGUUGGUCAUCAAAUCAACUGUUUCCUUUGAACCGGACGUGUAAAUUGCGUUGCUAAUAAAUCAUGGUUGAUUGAAGAUCAACUUGGGUUGACAACUGAAACUUUUAAACGGUAGACGGUUGACGGCUAAAAUGCUCUCAUCUAACAAUUCUGUAUGUCGAAACCCAUCAGUC